UUUCCUCCCUGAGGUUUGUUCAGGGCACGGCAAUCGGCUCUCGCGGAUUCGAAAGUGAAAGGUUAGUGCUUUCUUCUCGUCUCUUCUCCACCAUGAAACUUCGAUGCUCUUCUGAUCAAAGCUCCAACCUUUCCGCCAAAUCCCUCUUCUCCCUCGGGCCCCCAAGCCCUCGUUUUCUUUGGCGGCGAUGGCGAUGGAGGAGCAUCUUAUUGAUUCGUCAAAAUAUGUGAGAGAGAUCCUAACCCUAGUGGAACGAGGGCUUGGGCUCUUGUUUCUCCGAUUGAAUCGGGCAUGGGUCGUUCGAGAAGCUGGCCGCCCUGGGAAAGAUGGGGUGUGGUUUUGAGCACUAGAGUUAAAACGCUAGAAUUUCUCGACUGCAAACUUGCCAUGCUUUGGCUCGGGAGGGGAGGUUGAGGAGAUGAAGAGGAUUUCAAGGCAAAUGCAGGACCAAGAAGUUGGUGGUUGCUCAGGAACUAUAUUCGAACUAUGCAGGGGGCAGUCACCUGCUUUUCCAAUCAACAUUCUUACCGACUGGAAUGGAUCCCCCCCCUCCUGAGGUGCCGCUCCUCCCGCCGGCACCAGCACAGGCACCGGCACCACCACCAAGUGGUUUCCUGGAUUCAUGCUUAUGGUGUCUCUGCUGCUGCGGAUUAUUCACAAGCUGCUGUCCGCCGCUGUUUGAACCAGAACCCCCACCACCAUGAUCUCAUUGUUUGAAGGAAUCUAAUCUUUAGAUGUCGUUCCACUUCCUAUUAUGAAAAAAAUUAUUGUUAACUUGGUAGUUUUGUUACCAAAAAUGUAGUCCAUUCGCUGUUUUCCUUCUAAUCACACCGAGGGUAGACUUUGUAGCUCAAAUGAAAAGUUUCCCCUCCUGUUGCCAUUUUGCUUUUUGUGUUCUUGAAUACUGCUGUUAUCAAGAAGCAGAAAGCAUG